rnacentral:rRNA from 1 species
UGGGGAAUUUUGGACAAUGGGCGCAAGCCUGAUCCAGCAAUGCCGCGUGCAGGAUGAAGGCCUUCGGGUUGUAAACUGCUUUUGUACGGAGCGAAAAGGUCUGCCCUAAUACGGUGGGCUCAUGACGGUACCGUAAGAAUAAGCACCGGCUAACUACGUGCCAGCAGCCGCGGUAAUACGUAGGGUGCGAGCGUUAAUCGGAAUUACUGGGCGUAAAGCGUGCGCAGGCGGUUAUAUAAGACAGGUGUGAAAUCCCCGGGCUCAACCUGGGACCUGCAUUUGUGACUGUAUAGCUAGAGUACGGUAGAGGGGGAUGGAAUUCCGCGUGUAGCAGUGAAAUGCGUAGAUAUGCGGAGGAACGCCGAUGGCGAAGGCAAUCCCCUGGACCUGUACUGACGCUCAUGCACGAAAGCGUGGGGAGCAAACA